CAGAGUUCUCGCCCUCGCGGGUAGAUCUCCCACCCACUGUUAUUGCUACCGUGUUGCUUUGGCGGGCUGCUGGGCCUAGCCCGGCCGCCGGCUCCGGUCGGCGCGCGCCCGCCAGAGGACCCCAAACUCUGAAUGUUAGUGUCGUCUGAGUACUAUAUAAUAGUUA
rnacentral:misc_RNA from 1 species